rnacentral:lncRNA from 1 species
UUGAAAACAAACAAAAACCCUCAACUAUGACUUUACUCCCACUUUCUCAAGCCACUUUCCCAAGUAAUUCACCCACCGAACUGAAACCCUUAAUUCCUGUCUAUGUCGUCGGCGCUUUCAUCUACGGCUGUCGUCAAUCCGUCAAACAACAAAUAACCCAACGUCUUUACCUUAGUAAUAUUAUCAAGUGCACAAACCGCAAUAAACAUGCCGAUUUCUUCAUUGAACACAUACCCACCUCCGGCACCAUUGGAUCAUCUUUUCCUAACGUUUCCUUCUCCACUGAUAUCAUAUUGUCCGCAACAUUCUCAUCAACAUCCCUCUCAUCACCUAUGUCUUCUAUGGAACCUCAUACUGCAACACAAAAAUGGCAACAUUCAGCAAAACAUAAAUGAAUUUCAGUCGCAUAAGUUAUUGAAAAUAUAAUCUCAGCACUUUAACAUUGCCCACAAGUAAUCAACAACUACGUAAAUUCACUCCUUCAGACAAAUUACAGAAUGCAAAUGAAACAACAAAAAAGACCCAUUGGGUUUAAAUCGCAUUACCAAGAGAGCAGACCUUGACAACAACAAAUAUAACUCUCAAACAAGGUUUUCACAACACAAUAGAAGCAUAUUAUGAAAAAACAAAACACAAUCUGUCCCUCACUUAGGUUUUCCAGAGUUCGCGUAGACUGGUUUUCACCGUCAUCGGAGUUGGACGUUACCAUCUUCGCACUCGACGUGCGAGGGUUCCAAUAUGGGGGAGCGGUUGCUAUCGAUGUUGCGGGUGAGUGUGUACAGAUGAGUUUGUUUCGCCUUAGUCGGCAUCGAUCUAAGGACUUCAACUCCAAUGAGAGAUGAGAAAUCUCAUAUCUUGUUUUCGACGGGGAAAAAUCUCAGCGGCAGGUGGAGUGGUGUGUUAGAUCCCCUUUCAAUUUUUCUGUUGGUCAUCCAAAUCAAUUGUUUUGAAAACCAAUAUGCCACGUCAAUUCAUUUUUGGUCAAUUUUAAAUUUUCGUAGCUGUUCUGUGAACCAGCUUCUGUACGAGAAGCUUUAUUCAAAAU